CCCUGUGUAACCAGCAUUGAGCACAGUGCUUGGCAGGGUGUAAGGAUCAAUAAACACUUGUCGAAUGAAGAUACACCUGAAUGAUCCCUCCAUACUAGGCAGUAUGUAUGUCUUCAUAGUGCUCGGUGCUUCAGAAAGACGGAUGAACAAUUCCGGGUAUUAUAAUGAGUCCAGGUUUUAUUAGCACCUUGGCAUCUCCCUGCAGUUAGUCUCUGCUUCUCAUUCCAGGUAUGCUUCACACCCAGUGCAGAGCCCGAUGCAGGGCUUGAACUCAUAACCCUGAGAUCAAGACCUGGAUGCUUAACCAACUGAGCCACACAGGUGCCCCCCCCCUCCCAGGUACAGAUUUGAAACCAAGGGUGCUCACUAUUUACAUAGAAGAUGACAAUGUAGUUUCUGCAUACUAUAGGAGAACUCUAAGUGUUUGAGGGAUGGGUAGAAAAAUAGUGUGAAGAAGGAAACACUUGUUUGAAACUAUUAUCACUGUGUUCAUCAUGUUUUUUGUUUCCCGUGUCUUAUGGCGUUUUAAUAUUUGGGAGGCCUUCCAGCCCCAGGGAGAGACUACCUCUCCCGGUGCUACCCUUCCUGGGGAUAAUGGCAACCUGCCUAGAACUAUGCCUUCUGUAUGCACGUAUAGUCUCGUGUGUAUCCCCUCAACACUCUCCCUGACUCUCCGACAGCACACCAGUGUUAACCCCGACCUAAGUCAUCCCAGGGCCAGGUACCAGUCAAUCAGAGAUCAUCCCUAUAGCCCCAAACUGGCCUGAAUUAUUCAAACUGGCUAAUUCUAAAAUGUUUGCUCUUCCCAGCCUUGACUUUCCCACACAAACCCCGAUAAAGGCGCUGGCCUAGGCUUUCCCCUGGCUUCUGCUUCUGUGUCCUAACUACAACCUGGUACCCCCCCCCCCCCCCGCCGUGACCCUGCGUGGUGUGGUGGGCCCCCUUCUCUGUGGUAAUGUAAGUAAUAAACUCUUUUUUCAAUGGCAUUGACCUCGCCAUAUCGUCAUUCCAUUACUUCCAUAAAUUAAAAUCCCAUGGGUACAGAUGAGACAACGAUCUACAUUCAGUGUUUGUUGAGUGUGGAAACUGGGAGAAUUCCCUGGCCUCCAUGUUCUUUGUAGGUAUGGUUGGCUCACCUGCUUAGGACACCUUACAAAUGAUAAUCCAGACUUCUAACUCAGUCCCCACGCAGGCCAUGUCGCUUUAUAGCAUUUCACGAUCACGCAUCCAACCCCGAGACUGGGUCAAAUUCUCAAAAUAAAUGUUUUAUCUUAAAGUAUAAUGUGACAGGCAUGUGGGGAUAGACGUGGAGAAUGACAGACAAUCACUUCAGCUUGUUAUUUUGGAACCAUUAGUCAUAGGACA